CACUACUCUUCAGUAACACCUCGGAAAGGUAAAACUUCCUUAGUAACCGUCAGUCAAGUAACACUUCUCUUCAGUAACACCUCGUACAGGUAAAACUUCCUUAGUAACCGUCAGUCAUGUAACACUCCUCUUCAGUAACACCUCGGAAAGGCAAAGCUUCCUUAGUAACCGUCAGUCAAGAAACACUACUCUUCAGUAACACCUCGUACAGGAAAAACUUCCUUAGUAACCGUCAGUCAAGUAACACUACUCUUCAGUAACAUCUCGGACAGGCAAAGCUUCCUUAGUAACCGUCAGUCAAGUAACACUACUCUUCAGUAACACCUCGUACAGGUAAAACUUCCUUAGUAACCGUCAGUCAAGUAACACUGAUCUUCAGUAACAUCUCGGACAGGCAAAGCUUCCUUAGUAACCGUCAGUCAAGUAACACUCCUCUUUAGUAACACCUCGUACAGGUAAAACUUCAUUAGUAACCGUCAGUCAAGUAACACUACUCUUGAGUUACACCUCGUACAGGCAAAGCUUCCUUAGUAACCGUCAGUCAAGUAACACUCCUCUAUAGUAACAUCUCAGACAGGCAAAGCUUCCUAAGUAACCGUCAGUCAAAUAACUCUCCUCUGUAGUAACAUCUCGGACAGGCAAAGCUUCCUAAGUAACCGUCAGUCAACUAACUCUCCUCUUUAGUAACAUCUCGGACAGGCAAAGCUUCCUAAGUAACCAUCAAUCAAGUAACACUCCUCUUUAGUAACACCUCGUACAGGUAAAACUUCCUUAGUAACCGUCAGUCAAGUAACACUCCUCUUUAGUAACAUCUCGGACAGGCAAAGCUUCCUAAGUAACCAUCAAUCAAGUAACACUCCUCUUUAGUAAUAUCUCGGACAGGCAAAGCUUCCUUAGUAACCAUCAGUCAAGUAACUCUCCUCUUUAGUAACAUCUCGGACAGGCAAAGCUUCCUAAGUAACCGUCAGUCAAAUAACUCUCCUCUUUAGUAACAUCUCGGACAGGCAAAGCUUCCUAAGUAACCGUCAGUCAAAUAACUCUCCUCUUUAGUAACACCUCGGACAGGCAAGGUUUCCUUAGUAACCAUCAGUCAAGUAACACACCUCUUUAGUAACACCUCGGACAGGCAAAGCUUCCUUAAUAACCGUCAGUCAAGUAACACUCCUCUUCAGUAACACCUCGGAAAGGUAAAACUUCCUUAGUAACCGUCAGUCAAGUAACACUCCUCUUUAGUAACACCUCGUACAGGUAAAACUUCCUUAGUAACCGUCAGUCAAGUAAUGCUCCUCUUUAGUAACACCUCGUACAGGUAAAACUUCCUUAGUAACCGUCAGACAAGUAACACUCCUCUUCAGUAACGCCUCGUACAGAUAAAACCUCCUAAGUAACCGUCAGUCAAGUAACACUCCACUUCAGUAACACCUCGGAAAGGUAAAACUUCCUUAGUAACCGUCAGUCAAGUAACACUCCUCUUUAGUAAUACCUCGGACAGGUAAAACUUCCUUAGUAACCCUCAGUCAAAGUAACCCUCAGUCAAGUAACACUCUUCUUUAGUAACACCUCGGACAGGCAAAUCUUACCAAGUAACCGUCAGUCAAGUAGCACUCUUCUUUAGUAACACCUCGGACUGGCAAAGCUUCCGAAGUAACCCUCAGUCAAGUAACACUCCUCUUUAGUAACACCUCGGACAGGCAAAGCUUCCUAAGUAACCCUCGGUCAAGUGACACUCUUCCUUAGUAACACCUCGGACAGGCAAAGCUUCCUUAGUAACCGUCAGUCAAGUGGCACUCUUCCUUAGUAACACCUCGGACAGGCAAAGCUUCCUAAGUAACCGUCAGUCAAGUAACUUGCCUCUUUAGUAACACCUCGGACAGGUAAAACUUCCUUAGUAACCGUCAGUCAUGUAACACUCCUCUUUAGUAACACCUCGUACAGGUAAAACUUCCUUAGUAACCCUCAGUCAAGUGACACUCCUCUUCAGUAACACCUCGUACAGGUAAAACUUCCUUAGUAACCCUCAGUCAAGUAUUGCUUCAUCCAAAUAACACCUGUCAGAUUUACAUUUUAUAACACGUCUACGGUAAAAAUCUCUUAAGUAAAUCCUCAGACAGGUUACAUCUCCCUAGUAACGUUUCUUCAUAGUUACGCCUAGCGUGUUAAUCCUAGCAGCAUCUGUUGGGUAACAAUCUCUUUAGUAAACCGCAGACAGGUAUAGUAACAGUUCCCUAGUGAAACCCGUCGGGUAAUAUUUCUCCUUAGUAACGCCUAGCACGUUACACUCAACCCAACCAACAUAUCUAAGGUAACACUUUUCUCAAGUAAAACCUCAGACGGGCAACAUUUCCCUAGUGAAACCUGUUCCUGUCCGGAAGCAUUUAUUCCUAGUAACGCCUAGUAUGUUUCACUCCACCCUAGUAUCACCUGUCAGGUGACACACCUUUUAAGUAUCACCUGUUGGGUGACACACCUUUUAAGUAGCACCUCAGUAAUACUCCACCUAAGAACUUUUCAGUUUGAUUUCAGUUUGGUACCACUGCCUCGUCUAUAAGAUGACGUACUAGUAUUGUUUAGAACUCCAGCAUCAAUUCGUAUUUUCAAGUGUUACUAAGAAUAUAGCACAUGCUACCUUGAUUCGAUAUUCAGUCAAUAUUUUGUUAUAUUAACAUCAUUUAUUAGGGAAUGUAGCAGAAACAGUAAACCAACACAUGUAGUGAUAGAACUGAUGUCCUACUAAAGGAAAGCUGUGCUUGAUUUCCGACUGAACAUAUGCAAACCAAUAGAGCACCUACUCCUGGAACAGUAACAUGUGUCCUUACAUGGGACAUGAGGUAACUGUUGGCAUUAUGAUAUGAAGGAAUACCUAGAACAUUGUGAUGGGUCUGAUUGAGAUGACAAUGUACUAGUGUAACAUAAAUGUUGGUAUGAAUAAAGAUGGUUUCAGGCAAAU